rnacentral:rRNA from 1 species
ACACAUGCAAGUCGAGCGGUAGCACAGGGAGCUUGCUCCUGGGUGACGAGCGGCGGACGGGUGAGUAAUGUCUGGGAAACUGCCUGAUGGAGGGGGAUAACUACUGGAAACGGUAGCUAAUACCGCAUAACGUCUUCGGACCAAAGAGGGGGACCUUCGGGCCUCUUGCCAUCAGAUGUGCCCAGAUGGGAUUAGCUAGUAGGUGGGGUAAUGGCUCACCUAGGCGACGAUCCCUAGCUGGUCUGAGAGGAUGACCAGCCACACUGGAACUGAGACACGGUCCAGACUCCUACGGGAGGCAGCAGUGGGGAAUAUUGCACAAUGGGCGCAAGCCUGAUGCAGCCAUGCCGCGUGUAUGAAGAAGGCCUUCGGGUUGUAAAGUACUUUCAGCGAGGAGGAAGGCAUUGUGGUUAAUAACCACAGUGAUUGACGUUACUCGCAGAAGAAGCACCGGCUAACUCCGUGCCAGCAGCCGCGGUAAUACGGAGGGUGCAAGCGUUAAUCGGAAUUACUGGGCGUAAAGCGCACGCAGGCGGUCUGUCAAGUCGGAUGUGAAAUCCCCGGGCUCAACCUGGGAACUGCAUUCGAAACUGGCAGGCUAGAGUCUUGUAGAGGGGGGUAGAAUUCCAGGUGUAGCGGUGAAAUGCGUAGAGAUCUGGAGGAAUACCGGUGGCGAAGGCGGCCCCCUGG